UGGGCGACUUGUAGUACUUUGCUGGCGACGGGGACUUGUAGUAGUACUCUGAAGGAGUUGGGGACUUGUAAUAAUACUUUGUGGGAGCGGGUGACUUGUAAUAAUGCUUUGAGGGAGCAGGUGACUUGUAAUACUUGGUUGCAACUGGCGCCUUGUAGUAGUGUUUUGAAGGAGUUGGUGACUUAUAAUAAUAUUUUGAAGGA
rnacentral:lncRNA from 1 species